UUCUAGUUCCGCGCUGCCUGGACCUGUUGCCGCUAAUGGUGCGACGGGGAAACGCGCUCGCUGAUCGCUGCUGUCUGCCGCGGGGGCUGCGGCUUCCCCCGCAACCGGAGACGGGGAGGCGAAUCCAUCAGCGGGGCUCCCUUCCGCGCCCAGGAGCGCAGCCGCUGCCCCGCGGCAGCCGAGGGACUGCCCGGACCAUCCCCACGCUCCCCUCCGUUGCCAUUCCAUCGCCCCUUCCCAGCACUGAUCAUUACUGUUCCGAUGAGGCGAUUUUGUUUCUGUCUGUGCUGCCCUUUUGGAGCCGAGUGUGGAAGCGCUAGUUAAAAAGCUAGAGCUUAGUCUGGGAAUGGAACUCCAAAUAUAUUUGUAUAUACCGCAAGGCUCCCGUCAGGGCUGAGCACCGGUCUCUGUAUCAUAAGAGAUAAUUGAUUUCUAUCCUGCACAGACAGGCUUAAAAAUGAAAUUUCUUUUGCUGAGGCAAUUGACCUUGAUCUGCUGGUGGAAAAAAGAGAUGGUUUAGGUCUGCUUCUUCCCUCCCCCUCCCUCUAGGUUUCAAAGCUUGGAAAACUUUAUUUAAAAAUAAUUUUUGUAGCUGAUCUUUAUAAUGAAAAAAGUUUAAGCUCAUACUUAGCUAUCUGUCCCAAGAUUUAUCCACACAUAAUGUAAAAUAAUAACUGUGAGAAGAUAAACUAGGCAUAGUUUACACUGAGAAAUCUUGAUAAGGAUUGUGUACAUUUGCAUGUCUGUUCGUUGCACAUGUAAUAUGUGAGUAAACUCUAGACAUUAAUAAUGAUCUGUCAUGAGGAGUUUUAAUGGGUUUCCCCACAUGACAGAUGCACACAAAUCCUCCUGCAGACACUUCUUCAUUUUCACCCUAUAUAUAUAAGACAAGUUUGAGAGCUGACCUUUAAAUUACCCUCACAGACAAGUAGCUUGAGGCAUUUUGUCAGUAGUGGAGAGAUCCCUCAGUAGACCACAGGCAUCAUCUUUGCCUCAUGUAUUGUGGUAUUUAAAAUCAGGCUAACAGAAAAAAAAAUCAGAUGUAAAUGUAAAUACUACCCCUUUUGAAGACAGCUCAUUUGCAGUAUAAGCAAAUGAGGACAGGAAAAGUGGGAAGAAAAUUGAUAAUAGAGGAGCAGCAAAAGUCCAGUGGCAUGUCUUACAGUCCUCACACAGCUCAAACUGUUCACUUCUGUGAGUUUUACUUGCAUAAAUGCUGGCCAAAAUCCUGAUCCACACUUUUAAAGAUAGUAUAUGCUGACUUUGUUAAUCAUAUGAAAAUGCUACUAUUCCUAUUACUACUAAACAUAAAAACUAACUUUGCCAAACUCAUGAGCCCUAAUUUUAAUACUAUUAAUUGCCUGAGUACAUAUAAUAAAAUGAAGAUGGCAGUAAGUAUUCUACAAGCUGAAAAAUGUCACAGUUGGAAACUACAAGUAGAUUAUUUUUCCUCUUGUAUAACCAUUUAAAAAAAGUAAAUGAAACAGUUAUUUCUGUUAAAUAGUCAUAGCUAAUGCUUAUAAAAAUUGCAUAGUGUCCCUGAUGAUGCUAAGACAAGAGGCUGAUUAGAGGAAAAAUAAAACCAGUCAAGUAUCUUUGUAUUGCUUCAGAAUCUGGUAGAAGAAAAAAUCAUGGCACUUCCAUAAAAACCUUUUUAAGUCCAUAUGGUGUUUGUCAUCUGGAAGAUAGGAUGAACUAUUAAGAUUUUGUGAAUUCUGGUUGCCCCUUUGAUCGUAUGACUAUAAACCUAAAAGCAGGUGUCAACAACCAGUAGUGCCCACUCACAGUCCAGUUCCAGGCUGGUUGUGUUUGCACUCUAAGGGAGAGGUCCACUGCUAUUUAUAUCAGUGGAGUCUGAUUUGCGUUCCUGGGAGCUGGAAGAUGUCCUCCAUGCUGGGAGGAAGCUGUGACGUGUCAGUGGUUUAUAACAAAAAUGAACUUAUGGCCAGAUGGGGGAAUGCACAGAGUGCUCCCUGACAAGGGCAACUCAGCCUCUGUGGUGGGAAGCAGCAAGUGUCCCUGCCCUGAGGGGCUGGUAGGAUGAGGGUGCAGAGGCUGUGAAACCUAUGCACUCUGCCUUGGUUAGAAAGGGAAAAGUGAAGGAGAAUGCCAGGAGGGAUGAGACAAAGCAAAAGUCUAGGGAUAGGAUUUACUCUUGCAAGCAUAUGAACCUGCUGCUGAUUGUACUUCUACCCUGGGCGGACAGCUUUUUCUCCUAAAGAAUUACUCUCCAGUGCAAAUAAGAACAGAAUCUGGCUACUUCCUAUUUGGUUCCCCGGCUCCAAGCAGAGGCCCUCAGAUUGAUGUGGGUUCCAUAUAACCCUUACAAGUACAUGGUGAUCAGUACACAAGGCUGAGUUAGGUGAGCUUUUCAGGGAUGCUAUCAUUGGUUCUGGCUCAGCAGUGUCGUGGAAGGACAGAAUCCUUCCCCUUGUACUCAGAGUACACAGAGGAUUUUGGAAAGUUUCACAAGAUUUAGACCUGCUUAUUUCUGGGCCAUGGUUUGUGGAUCUGUCCUGGUAUAUUUGUGACGAAGCACAUGUAUAAGUGUUAUGAUGACAAGAGUCUCUGCUACUCCCUGUAGCAAUCUGUUUUCUCAUAUUCGCAUGGUUUUGGGAACUGAGACCUGCCAGUCUUCUGGAAACCACGAAAAUGGCAUUUAAUUGGCCUAAAUAUCACAGUUGAGUGUCUUAUUUUCCCUUUUCCUAGGGUUUUGUCCUUUCACCUUAAGAAACUAUCUGAGUGACCACUCUUCAGAUAAAUGAGAUGUAUAAUUAUUUUACUAUUCCUCUGGAAAGAGAGCCAGAAGGUCCCUCUGUGGCAACCAGAAAGAGGAAAAGUUAGAGAAAGGCCUGGAGGGGAAGCUGGACUUGCCACCUUUCCCAUGGGUUUCUGGGGGCAGAGCUGUGCAGAGGAGUGCCCCACACCUGUAGGGAAGCACAGGGACUCUGAGGGGACAUCAGGCUGAAGCACAGUUGGGUCCAAGGUGGGAGCCCUUCUCUGGGAGAAGCAGCAGCUCUACCCAGAAGAUAAAGAUCAGUUACGUUUGAGGCUAUUUCCUGCAGCUGUUGCUGUGCCCUCCGUCCCCACAUCCCAAAGCUUCCCUUGAUGGCAAGGUGCCCACAUCACACCCUGCAUCAGGGUGAACUCCUCACCUGCCAUGUGAUGACGCACUUUGGGGCAAGAGGAGGAAAGCCUGCCCUGAUUCUGCUUGUGGGCCAAAGAUCCCUUCUUUCAUCCCUGCCAGGAAAUGCUGGGCUGAGGCUCAGCCUUGCAAAACCCUGGGCUGUGGAACCUGCAGCACUGCUAGGCUGGCUUGUGAAGCGCCUUCCACUCCAUGAAGUUUUCCCCUGGUAAGCCUUCUGCAGCCCUGCUUGGCCCCAGUUUCAGCCUGGGCACAGCCUGGUGGGACAGGAGAAAGGAAAGACACCUCGCUCCAGGAUGUGGACUUCAUUCCCCAGUCUUACUCUGAAGAAAAGAGAGCUACAAAGAAUAAUGACCCAUGAAUUCUGGAGAGGAGCACAGUUGUUUCAUGUUUGCUUACAUUAUUCAGAAACAUUUUGCAUCUUCACCUUCUAAACUGGCUGAAGAGGCAUUGCCCAGCCAUCUGUGAAGGCAGGAGUGACUGCUUAUAGCACCGAUUUGUAAGAGUAAAGGAAGCUCAACAGACACAUAGAGAUGGAUGGGUGAAGUGAAGUAGAAUAUUACUGAAUAAUCUUCAACCUUGAAUGAGGAAAAUGAGAUACAGGAUGCCUAAUGUUUCAUUGACAUCCAUGAAAAGAGACAUGAAAACAUCCAAAACUCUCUCAGUGGAAGAAGGUUAAGGGGACCACGUGCAAAAUCACAGCUCCAGUGAGAAUGGUGACCCUGGCAGGACAACAGGGAUUCCAUCCAUGCACCUCUCCUUGUGGGGCCACAGGGAGAGGCUGUGCCUGGUGCAUCAAGAAGAAAAUCAUGUUUGAGGCUGAUCCCUUUGAACUGCUGAAACCUGAUGACUUGCAAUCAAUAGUCUGUGAAACAAUAAGGUCAGCAGUGCGAAGAUUCAGAUUUUCUGCCUCUAAAUGCUGGCCGAUGUGCUGGAACACUGAGGAGAUCUGACCUGGUGCUGCCCUGGUAUCCCAGGAAGGUGGAAGAAGAGGCUCCCAGCACUUGUCUGGAUCCAGACCUCUCUUCUAGUGAGAUGGUUCACUGCAGGGAGCACCUGAGAGGCCCUCGAAGGAGUUGCAGGGCUGGAGAAGAGCAGCUCAGAGCACUCUGCCUUGCUCACAUCACCACAACGGCUACAGAGGGAAAACACUCCUGACAUGGCAUUUCCUUUGCUGCAUCCUCGGCUGCUGUGUGAUGGGCAGGAAUAGCAGGAGGUCACACUGGUGAUUUCAAGCUUUAAUACCCAGCUCUGUGGGGCCAGCUUCCAACAGGUGAGUGAAAUGAAGAAAGAAUGGGGCUUUUUUCAUAUUGAUAAAUCCAGCUGAAUUGUGAGCAUUCCUGAAAGUGUGCAAGGCUCUGAUAAGAGCUUUAUCAAGCAUGUAUUACAUCAACUGGCUGCCACGCUGGCCCCCUGCUCAGCUGCUUUUCCUAGCAACAGUACCCAGACAAUGAGCUCACAUCUACUGAGGGAGCACUUCACUUCAGGGGAGGUGCUGUUCCAGUAAUUCAUGCUUGAGACCAGGUGUAAAGAAGGACAACCACACCCCAGGUUUAUAUACACAGAUACUGGGAGAACUGAGGAUCUUUUAAAGAUCCACUUCAGCUCAAACUUCAGUUCUGCCCAGCUGACAGUCCCUCCAUCUUCAUAAGCAGCUCAUUGGGCAGUCAAGAAAAAUAACUGUUAAUAAUUAAACACCAACUUGUGAGAAAUAUAAUUUCCAGAUGUGUUUUUAAUACAACAUGUAAUUAACAACUUUAACAAGGUUUAUUAAACUCUAUAAGGACUUUGCAGAAAAGCUUUAGUGGGAAUAUAGAGGACAGAACUCUUGAUCUAUAGAAUAAAAAAAAGAAGCCCAUGAAUAUAAUUUCUUUUGUUACAAUGAGACAGAGCUUGCAAUUUCUUGGAUUAAACUGGAACAGACUUUGAGAGUCUGUCUCUCAAAGAUCUAAGAAUUCUGAGAGACUUCAAGCAUUCAGAUUUUCAUCACAGGCAAUAUUAAAAUCCUGGAUAAGAAUAUUCUUUGUCUUGUACUCACAUGAAUAAGAACUAAUUCCACUUAGGAAAUACAAUAUCUUGAUUUAAAGGGAAUUAAUUUUGACCAUCCAAAGUGGUAGAAGAAUAUGUCUCACAUUGAAAAUAAAAGCCAGUCUGCCCAUGGAACAAUGACAUAUGCUGCUGUUCAUAUCUGUGCACCUCCUCUGAAAAAAAGGUAUGAUAGUUUUUCCUGAAGCUAUCCUGGGAUAAUUGUACCUUUGUCCUUUAUAAAUUCACAUGUGUUUUUAUAAGCAGAGCAAGGGUCCCAAUGGUGCCAUUAGAAAUAAUACUUUAAGAGAUUUCCAAAGAUAUGUCUUGUUUACCUUCGAUGGAGAGUUAACUAAAUACAGAAAUUUUAUUUUUCCUCCUAACCAACAAUAGAUCCCUGUAAGUGUCAAAGUCAGUCAUACACAAUCAAAUGUGCUGGCAUAAAAUUAGUCAUUCUCUCACUCCUAUAAAAAGUAAAUAAAUGGUGCCAAUAAAGACAUGCCAACAUGAGAGAAUAAACCUUUUGUUUUAAAGCACAUGUAACCAAAGAACAUAGCAUAAGCUUUUAAAUUCAUUUUGACUCAGGUCUUGGCUGUUUGGGAGUCUUUCUCGGUGACUGGAUCACCAGAAGACUAUUUGCAGUGAGUUUUCAUGCACAGAUGCCACAAAAUAACGAAAAAGCUCAGUUUCCUUGAGUGCAUUCUUAUUGAGUUGUCACAGGAAGAGAAGUAAAUUUGUCUUAGUCUCUCGUUUCCUUGCAACACUACCCACUGCAGCUAGCACUAGGGAAGAUUUGCUUUUCCAAGUCCAAAUGCACAGUAUCAGGAUCUAACUGAAUUAUCCUUGCCAGGAAUGGACUUAUACUUCCCACGUAAUAAAAAUUACUUGUAUCAAAGUAUCAGAAAAAGGCUGCACACUAUGCAGUACCUGGAUGGACUUGCCAAAUCAUCUGAACGAGGAUUGUUGAUAGAAAAAAGGUGAAUGUAGUGCUUUCAGUAGAGACUUCAUUACCUCACAAACUAAGCAACAGUUGUUUCAGAAAAUCAAACAAGCCCCAUGGCUGAUUCCCCCAAUUUUUUGCCAUCUGCAUCACUUUAAAAUAGUCACAUAAAAAUGACACAUUUGAAAAGUUGUGGUAUCUUUUAACAGAAAAAUUUAAUUCUCAUUCAGUGCUCUGAGAACAAAAACUUCAACACUUCUAAGAAAUUAAAAAAGAAAGUUGUGCGCACAUAAGGUUCUUGCUACAUCUGUUAGGAAGCAGAAAAAAAUCACAGAACCCCAGAAAUGGGGGGAAUGGAACAGGAAGAGUGGAUAAAAGAGCAGUAUCCCAAGGACAGGUAUAUGAUGACUAUGAGUCACAAGAACUUACUCCCAGAAAAACAUCAGAGUGCCUUUUAAUGACAUAAUAAGUAAAGGAUGGGCUGUACCUUUCUGGUAAAGUAUUUCAGGAAGCUCCACUGAACUUGUUCCUCCUGAAAUACUUUUUUUCAGGGUCCCUAGGCAAAGAGAAUGAUCUAAGCUAAUAUAUUUCUCUGCCACUAAGACAGGGUGUAAGACAUGUUCAGCCUGCAGUGCCUUAAGAGUAUCUUGUAUCCAACUGAUAUAAAUAUGCAACUCUUAUUUCUCAGAGGACAGAACCCCAUGGCUCAAUUGUGAGAGUCGAGAUUAAAAGAUUUACAAUACAUAAAAUCAUUAUCAUACUGUCUUACCUGGAGUGUGUGUCUUCCUCCAUGGCUUCAGUGAUAGGAUUUCUGUCUCUGGUAUUAAUUUCUACUGGUUGGAGCUGUGAACAUUUCUUGUUGAGCUGUUCAGCAAAGACAGAUCUUAGAUAUUCUAGAAAAAAGUAAAAUAUGGUUGCUUCAUAAGGGAUAUGCUGAUUUAUUAAUCUAAGUUGUGAAGGAUGUCUGUGUCUAAUAGUCUCUUAUUUUAACAUGUGGAGCUAUAAAAUAAUUUACUGGGGCUCUGGGGACGUUAUUUUCUACCUGGGUAUUCUUUGCAGUGCUCAGAUCUGACGAUGUAUUGUUAUAUGUUUAUCCACCUGGUGAACUUCUCCAUAAUAAUCUAAUCCAGUCAGUUUUGACCUUUUUCAAUUUGCAAACAUCUACAUGUUUCCUAGUAAGAUUAUGAAUCCUCUCUGCACUCUGAAUUUGAGGUCAUGGGUAAUAGUAUUGCUUUCCUUUGUUACUUUGGAGGGAUUGCCUGGAAAUGGUCCCUUUGCAGUGGUUACAGGCCAGAGGUUCAAAACUAUGUGUAAUUUUAUGGCCAAAGUCACAACU